UAGUAGGUCUGGCCUGCCCAGUGAUAAAAUUUAACGGCCGCGGUAUAUUGACCGUGCAAAGGUAGCAUAAUCAUUAGUCUUUUAAUAGAAGGCUGGAAUGAAAGGUUUAACGAGAAAUUAACUGUCUCAAUUACAAACUUGAAUUUAUCUUUUGAGUCAAAAGACUUAAAUAUCAUUGUGGGACGAGAAGACCCUAUAGAGCUUAACAAUCUUUUUUUUUAUAUUUAUUUAGUUAAAUUAUUUAUAUAUAUAUUGAAAAAAUUGUUUUGUUGGGGUGACAAUAAAUAUAUAUUUAACUUUUAUCAUAAUAUAAACAUUAAUUUAUGAUUUUUGGAUCCAAAAAUUUUGAUCAAUAGAUUAAGUUACCUUAGGGAUAACAGCGUAAUCUUCCCUCAGAGUUCAUAUUUACGGGAAGGCUUGCGACCUCG
rnacentral:rRNA from 1 species